UACGAAGGGGGCUAGCGUUGUUCGGAAUUACUGGGCGUAAAGCGCACGUAGGCGGCUUUGCCAGUCAGGGGUGAAAUCCCGGGGCUCAACCUCGGAACUGCCCUUGAUACAGCAAAUCUUGAGUCCGGAAGAGGUGGGUGGAAUUCCUAGUGUAGAGGUGGAAUUCGUAGAUAUUAGGAAGAACACCAGUGGCGAAGGCGGCUCACUGGACCGGAACUGACGCUGAGGCGCGAAAGCGUGGGGAGCAAACAGG
rnacentral:rRNA from 1 species